AUGAACGCUGGCGGCGUGCCUAAUACCUGCAAGUCGAGCGAACAGACGAGGAGCUUGCUCCUCUGACGUUAGCGGCGGACGGGUGAGUAACACGUGGAUAACCUACCUAUAAGACUGGGAUAACUUCGGGAAACCGGAGCUAAUACCGGAUAAUAUAUUGAACCGCAUGGUUCAAUAGUGAAAGACGGUUUUGCUGUCACUUAUAGAUGGAUCCGCGCCGCAUUAGCUAGUUGGUAAGGUAACGGCUUACCAAGGCAACGAUGCGUAGCCGACCUGAGAGGGUGAUCGGCCACACUGGAACUGAGACACGGUCCAGACUCCUACGGGAGGCAGCAGUAGGGAAUCUUCCGCAAUGGGCAAAAGCCUGACGGAGCAACGCCGCGUGAGUGAUGAAGGUCUUCGGAUCGUAAAACUCUGUUAUUAGGGAAGAACAAAUGUGUAAGUAACUAUGCACGUCUUGACGGUACCUAAUCAGAAAGCCACGGCUAACUACGUG
rnacentral:rRNA from 1 species